rnacentral:rRNA from 1 species
GACGAACGCUGGCGGCGUGCCUAAUACAUGCAAGUUGAGCGCUGAAGGUUGGUACUUGUACCAACUGGAUGAGCAGCGAACGGGUGAGUAACGCGUGGGGAAUCUGCCUUUGAGCGGGGGACAACAUUUGGAAACGAAUGCUAAUACCGCAUAAAAACUUUAAACACAAGUUUUAAGUUUGAAAGAUGCAAUUGCAUCACUCAAAGAGGAUCCCGCGUUGUAUUAGCUAGUUGGUGAGGUAAAGGCUAACCAAGGCGAUGAUACAUAGCCGACCUGAGAGGGUGAUCGGCCACAUUGGGACUGAGACACGGCCCAAACUCCUACGGGAGGCAGCAGUAGGGAAUCUUCGGCAAUGGACGAAAGUCUGACCGAGCAACGCCGCGUGAGUGAAGAAGGUUUUCGGAUCGUAAAACUCUGUUGGCAGAGAAGAACGUUGGUGAGAGUGGAAAGCUCAUCAAGUGACGGUAACUACCCAGAAAGGGACGGCUAACUACGUGCCAGCAGCCGCCGUAA